rnacentral:misc_RNA from 1 species
AACUGAUACUACCUGCGGGAACUGCGGAAGGAUCAUUAGUGAACGCCCUCACGGGCUUAUAACUAUUCCAAACCUCUGUGAACCGUGCCCUUCGGGGCUAUUUUACAAACAUGGUGUAAUGAACGUCAUAUAUCAUAACAAAACAAAACUUUUAACAAUGGAUCUCU